GAAAGAAAGAAAGAAAGAAAGAAAGAAAGAAAGAAAGAAAGAAAGAAAGAAAAAUUGUACACACCUUGUACAUUAUUUUCACUAAUAAGAAUCAGUAGCAGGAAAAAAACAACAACUGGUUAGUUCAGAUUUUGAUGAAUCAUUUAUGAUAAACAAUAAACAAUUGUUGCCUUCCCAA